UGCUGAUGUGUCUCCGUCAUUGGCCAUUUUAAGCGAGCAAACAAUGAAACUGGAUUGAUUUUGAAACCAAAGAAAAACAUUGGACAGUAUGCUCCGACGGUCGUGUAAAGUUUUGUCGAAACCAACCAUCUGGCCUUGACACCCUCCUGUGUGUGGGGUGUGUGAAAACAAACCGAUUUCAAGCUUGGUAUUUCAUCCGAAAAUACCAACUUUCCUCGCUUCGUGGCAUAAAUUUGUUCCCAGCUUCAAAAAACCACACCAUCCCUGCCGUGCUGUGCUGCAUGCGUAUUCGAUGCUGCUGGUGGUGGUGGUGCUGCUGCUCAUGAUGAUACAAUGGAGGGUGAACGAGCCUGUUUGCUCUUUGUUUUCCUGCCCUCUCGCUCCGGUCUGCGCGCAGAAGGAAAGAGAUGAAACGAAAACAACCCGCUUGUGCUUGAGGGUGCUUGGAUUUGCCCGUGCGCAGAGCAGCAUGCUGCCAGUGAAAAGCAACGUGCGUGUGUGUGUGGCUGGUCGUACCUAUACAGACAAAUUAGUGAACUUUAAGGGAUGAUUCUUCAAGGGGAUGAAAGUGACGAUGAGGGUUCGUAUCGUGUAUGCUGGGCAUGUUGCGAUGGUAAUGCUGAUUCCACACAAACCCGUUUUCGUCGUAUCGUGUUCCGGUUCUGUUUGCAUGGAAUAGAGUAAUUUUAAUCUCUCGAUGUUUCUUCCAAGGCCUAACCAGCGAGAGUUGCCCAACCCGGACACACAGAAGAAGAGCCAUUUUACUGUUCUGCUGUUGCUCCAAAUGUUAUCAAUCCAUGCGUAAUGCGACGGUGUGCCCCUACUAAUGCGAAAUACCGCACAUUAUGAAUAGGUUUAUUUGACCUAAAUAACACUUGAAGCAAGCAAUAUUUUCGAGAUUAAAUAUGUUUUAGUUUUCAGAAAUUUAAAGUAUUUUACAUGUUAUGAACUGAUUGCGACCAAAUACAGUUAAAAUGAAAAAUAUUAGGAAAAGAAAGACAUGCUAUGUAGAAACAUAAAAUAGUCGGUAAAUGCGAUGAAUUUUAUGAUCCCGAAGUGCAUCCAACAACCAUCAGCUGCAAGGUGGAAACAAAACAUCAACAAUUCCCUAUGCAACCACAAAGGGUUGCCCAUCACCGUAGUGUUGGUGUGUGUGUGUGCGCGUAUUCCGACGUGUGUGAUAGAGAACGCACAGCAACGGGUAGAAAAGGAAGACACACGAGAAUAACAAAAAU